AGAGUUUGAUCCUGGCUCAGGAUGAACGCUAGCGGCAGGCUUAACACAUGCAAGUCGAGGGGUAUAGGGAGCUUGCUUCCUAGAGACCGGCGCACGGGUGCGUAACGCGUAUGCAAUCUACCUUUUACAGAGGGAUAGCCCAGAGAAAUUUGGAUUAAUACCUCAUAGUAUAACGACCCCGCAUGGGGAUGUUAUUAAAGUCACAACGGUAAAAGAUGAGCAUGCGUCCCAUUAGCUAGUUGGUGUGGUAACGGCACACCAAGGCAACGAUGGGUAGGGGUCCUGAGAGGGAGAUCCCCCACACUGGUACUGAGACACGGACCAGACUCCUACGGGAGGCAGCAGUGAGGAAUAUUGGUCAAUGGGCGCAAGCCUGAACCAGCCAUGCCGCGUGCAGGAUGACGGUCCUAUGGAUUGUAAACUGCUUUUGUACAGGAAGAAACACUCCCUCGUGAGGGAGCUUGACGGUACUGUAAGAAUAAGGAUCGGCUAACUCCGUGCCAGCAGCCGCGGUAAUACGGAGGAUCCAAGCGUUAUCCGGAAUCAUUGGGUUUAAAGGGUCCGUAGGCGGGUUUAUAAGUCAGUGGUGAAAGCCCAUCGCUCAACGAUGGAACGGCCAUUGAUACUGUAGAUCUUGAAUUAUUAGGAAGUAACUAGAAUAUGUAGUGUAGCGGUGAAAUGCUUAGAGAUUACAUGGAAUACCGAUUGCGAAGGCAGGUUACUACUAAUGGAUUGACGCUGAUGGACGAAAGCGUGGGUAGCGAACAGGAUUAGAUACCCUGGUAGUCCACGCCGUAAACGAUGGAUACUAGCUGUUCGGAGCAAUCUGAGUGGCUAAGCGAAAGUGAUAAGUAUCCCACCUGGGGAGUACGUUCGCAAGAAUGAAACUCAAAGGAAUUGACGG
rnacentral:rRNA from 1 species